rnacentral:pre_miRNA from 1 species
UCCUAGUCCCUGAGACCCUAACUUGUGAGGUUUUUAGUAACAAUCACAAGUCAGGCUCUUGGGACCUAGG